UAGUCCACGCCGUAAACGAUGGUUACUAGUUGUUGGGAUUUAUCUCAGUGACUAAGCGAAAGUGAUAAGUAACCCACCUGGGGAGUACGUUCGCAAGAAUGAAACUCAAAGGAAUUGACGGGGGCCCGCACAAGCGGUGGAGCAUGUGGUUUAAUUCGAUGAUACGCGAGGAACCUUACCAGGGCUUAAAUGUAAGUUGCAUUAGACAGAGAUGUUUAUUUCUUCGGACUACUUACAAGGUGCUGCAUGGUUGUCGUCAGCUCGUGCCGUGAGGUGUCAGGUUAAGUCCUAUAACGAGCGCAACCCCUACCGUUAGUUGCCAUCAGGUUAUGCUGGGGACUCUAACGGGACUGCCGGUGCAAACCGUGAGGAAGGUGGGGAUGACGUCAAAUCAUCACGGCCCUUACGUCCUGGGGCUACACACGUGCUACAAUGGGUAUAUACAGAGGGGCAGCUACUCCGCAAGGGGAUGCGAAUCUUGAAAGUAUAUCUCAGUUCGGGAUCGGGAGUCUGCAACUC
rnacentral:rRNA from 1 species